UACGUAGGUGGCAAGCGUUGUCCGGAUUUACUGGGCGUAAAGAGCGCGCAGGCGGUCGGAUAAGUCGAGUGUGAAAGCCCCUGGCUCAACCAGGGAGGGUCAUUCGAUACUGUUCGACUCGAAGGCAGGAGGGGGAAGUGGAAUUCCGGGUGUAGUGGUGAAAUGCGUAGAUAUCCGGAGGAACACCAGUGGCGAAGGCGACUUUCUGGCCUGUUCUUGACGCUGAGACGCGAAAGCUAGGGGAGCAAACGGG
rnacentral:rRNA from 1 species